rnacentral:lncRNA from 1 species
UUAUUACCACAGAUUCGGGCAGAGGUCUAGUUCCAUUCCACUCUCCAGACUUCUCACAUCGCUCCCAACUUCGCACUUCUCAAGCGAUUUCAGAAUCCAAUUCCUUCCUGGUGAGCGACGAGCGUGAAUGGUGUGCUGAAGCAAGAAGUCCCCAUUGCCGCAAGGUGGAAGCCCGCAACCGCAACUCCCAACUGGUACGAUUGUGAAUUUGUAUGUGUGAAUCACUAUCAAUUUAUCAUUUCAAUUUCAAUUUUCGAGUAUGACAUUAAACUGGGGCAUGUUUAUUGUUUAUGUUUAAUUAUUGGUUUUUUUUUUUUUGAGUAAUUUGUUAUGCUCUCUCUCUCUGCCUAAUUUGGUAUUAAUUUUUAGGGUUUUAAUUUUUGAAUUGCUUGCUUACAACUUACUUACUGUUUGGGGAUUUUGUUGAAAUUGGUUUUAUUGUGACGUUUUCAGUUGGGCAAUUUUGAGAUUUGCGGUAUUUUUAGGUUUUAUCUGUAAAUAGUCCCGUUCUUUUGAGUUUUGAUUUAAGUUUUUAUGAAUUGGUUUUAUUGUGAUUUAAGUUGGGCAAUUUAGAGAUUUGCGGUAUUUUUAGGUUUUAUCUGUAAAUAGUCCCGUCCUUUUGAGUUUUAAUUUAAGUUUUUAUGAAUUUUUUUUAUUGUGAUUUAAGUUGGUAUGAAAUGUUUAUGACUUUUAAUAAAUGGUGGAAACUGGAAAGUAAAUAAGUAAUUCUGUAGUGGGAGAAGUUCGAUAAGGAAAGUUGGGGCUUUUAAUAAAUGGUGGAAAGUUGGAAAGUCUUUAUGAUGGUUAAUAAAUGGUUGAAUUGUUAAUUUUUUAAUCAAUUCUAAUUGAAAAUGAAAUUGGGACAUUUUGCAUAUUAUGGAACGGUUUUUUCAAUCGAAACGAAAGUCUAUGCGUAGUUCUCCUAGUUUUAGUUGUGCUUCUAGUCCGGUCGCUGCUUCUAGCUAAGCACUCGAGUUGUUAAAUAACACAAAGAAGUCUCGGGCUCAAUUCAAUGUGGAUGAUCUUGUAUCUGAUUUUAGUGCAUUUACAUAAAUAUAUUGAACUAUAUAUAUAAUUUCUAGAUUUUAGUGCAUUUACAUAUAUAUUGAAUAAUUUUUAAUAUUAUUUAAUCUAAUUUUAAUAAACGAUCGGCCGCCGAUCGGACCAGGCUUUUAUGAUCUUUGAUUGUCGACAUUCAACGGUCAAAGUCAACAUUCGCCUUAGCUGAACAUUGAUGCUAGAUUCGCCACUGAGAGUGAAUGUAAAUUAUUGUUAUUAUUCAGAAAAAGGAUAGUGCCUGAUUCAGAAUUUGGCAUUUGUAAUCUGUGGAAGAUCAUAAAAAUCGUUACAAAGAGUUCAAAUUAUAAACCAUUUUACAUAUAAAAAAAAAUGGAAAUCUAAAUAGCAUACACACAUAAUCGCAUUAAAAUAGAAGAAAAUCACACUAAAUGCAAAAAACGCAAAAAUCACUACACAAGGAACAAUUUUCUUCAUUGUUAAACCUGUUUUGACCUGAGAAAGAUCACAAAAAAUUUACCCGAGUUACUUUUAAUCAAAAAGUUAAAAUGUUAACAAAUUUACGCUAAAAAAAGCUCACUGAGUGAGGAAAAUAAUUAAUGGAUAAUUAGUAUCAAAAUUUGAAAAAUAAAAAAUUUAUUCUUGGAAUUGAUUCAAAUAGUUGCCUCAUCGAUUGAGAAAAAGCUCUACAUAACGGAGAAAAAGGCAUGAGUCCAACACGGCAGCAACCAGAUUAUUGGUUAUAGAUCGUCAAUUUCACGAGGGAAAGGGGAAAAGGAAAGCUGAACAACAACAUAUGCAAGAAGAAAACGAAAUAGAAAAGAGAAAAGAAGAAAUGAUGGGUUUGUGUGGGGAAAUGAAGGAAGCAUGGCGCGGUGUGUGAUAAAACGAGACAAACGGUGAUUGAAAGAAUGGUAGAAGAGCCUAGAUAAUUCCAAUAAUAAUGAGAUUAUAGUAGUUAAAAAAAAAAAAAGAGAGAGAUGGCAUGCAACCCUAUGAACAGUGCCAGAGGAAACUCACUCUUUUAAUAGAGUGAGAAGUGAUAUAUUCAAUAUAUUAGGUAAUAGUUAGAUGCAAAUAAUGACAUCAUGAAACUAGGUAAAAACACAUUGACAUAUUAUGAUGUAUUGACUUUUAAACAAAUCAUAACUUUCUGAUAAAUUUCUAAAAAAUUGGCUGAAAAUUAAGACACUACAUAGAAGGCUAGAUAUUCAAUCUAACGCAAGGUGUGUGUGAGCCUUGAUCGUCGACUUUGUUUUGUGGUCAUUAACCUUUUUCCAUUGCUUUCCUGUCCCUUUGGGCACACUUUUUGCUUGCAUAAAUGUGUUAUCUCGACUGCUGGUUGCUUUUAUCCAAUUAUUAACUUGAUUGCCUCAUUCUUUGGUUUUUGUUUUGGGUGAGAGAACGAAUGCAUGGUUGUUGUGCACCUGGCCACUACAUAUUACAACUUGGUGCUAAAGAUGUCCACCUUUCCCUUCAAAUAAUGAAAAAUGGGAAAAGGCGAAGAGUGCUGGAUAUGCUAAAACCAUGGUGCCAGGACAGUAUUUAAAUAUAAAGCCCCAUGUUAAUAUAGUA